rnacentral:rRNA from 1 species
CCUGACUGCUAUCGGAUUGAUACUAAGCCAUGCGAGUCAUUGUAGCAAUACAAGGCAGACGGCUCAGUAACGCGUAGUCAACCUACCCUAUGGACGGGGAUAACCUCGGGAAACUGAGAAUAAUACCAGAUAGAACAUUAUGCCUGGAAUGGUUUAUGUUUCAAAUAAUUUAUUGCCGUAGGAUGGGACUGCGGCCUACCAGUUUGUUGGUGAGGUAAUGGCCCACCAAGACUAUUACAGGUACGGGCUCUGAGAGGAGUAGCCCGGAGAUGGGUACUGAAACACGGACCCAGGCCCUAUGGGGCGCAGCAGGCGAGAAAACUUUGCAAUGUGCGAAAGCACGACAAGGUUAAUCCGAGUGAUUCCUGCUAAAGGAAUCUUUUGUUAGUCAUAAAACCACUAUUGAAUAAGGGGUGGGCAAGUUCUGGUGUCAGCCGCCGCGGUAAAACCAGCACCUCAAGUGGUCAGGAUGAUUAUUGGGCCUAAAGCAUCCGUAGCCGGCUCUGUUAGUUUUCGGUUAAAUCCAUAUGCUCAACAUAUGGGCCGCCGGGAGUACUACAAAGCUAGGGAGUGGGAGAGGUAGACGGUACUCCGUAGGAAGGGGUAAAAUCCUUUAAUCUAUGGAUGACCACCAGUGGCGAAGGCGGUCUACCAGAACAUGUUCGACGGUGAGGGAUGAAAGCUGGGGGAGCAAACCGGAUUAGAUACCCGGGUAGUCCCAGCUGUAAACUAUGCAAACUCAGUGAUGCAUUGGCUUGUGGCCAGUGCAGUGCCACAGAGAAGUCGUUAAGUUUGCCGCCUGGGAAGUACGUACGCAAGUAUGAAACUUAAAGGAAUUGGCGGGGGAGCACCACAAGGGGUGAAGCCUGCGGUUC